AACGAACGCUGGCGGCAUGCCUAACACAUGCAAGUCGAACGAAGGCUUCGGCCUUAGUGGCGCACGGGUGCGUAACGCGUGGGAAUCUGCCCUUGGGUUCGGAAUAACGUCGGGAAACUGACGCUAAUACCGGAUGAUGACGUAAGUCCAAAGAUUUAUCGCCCAAGGAUGAGCCCGCGUCGGAUUAGCUAGUUGGUGAGGUAAAAGCUCACCAAGGCGACGAUCCGUAGCUGGUCUGAGAGGAUGAUCAGCCACACUGGGACUGAGACACGGCCCAGACUCCUACGGGAGACAGCAGUGGGGAAUAUUGGACAAUGGGCGAAAGCCUGAUCCAGCAAUGCCGCGUGAGUGAUGAAGGCCUUAGGGUUGUAAAGCUCUUUUACCCGGGAUGAUAAUGACCGUACCGGGAGAAUAAGCUCCGGCUAACUCCGUGC
rnacentral:rRNA from 1 species